UGACGGUUUGAAUGCUGGAAGUGUAGAUUGAGUACUGACAGUUUGAAUGCUGGAAGUGUAGAUUGAGUACUGACAGUUUGAAUGCUGGAAGGUCAGUGUAGAUUGAGUACUGACAGUUUGAAUGCUGGAAGUGUAGAUUGAGUACUGACAGUUUGAAUGCUGGAAGUGUAGAUUGAGUACUGACAGUUUGAAUGCUGGAAGUGUAGAUUGAGUACUGACAGUUUGAAUGCUGGAAGUGUAGAUUGAGUACUGACAGUUUGAAUGCUGGAAGUGUAGAUUGAGUACUGACAGUUUGAAUGCUGGAAGUGUAGAUUGAGUACUGACAGUUUGAAUGCUGGAAGGUCAGUGUAGAUUGAGUACUGACAGUUUGAAUGCUGGAAGGUCAGUAUAGAUUGAGUACUGACAGUUUGAAUGCUGGAAGGUAAGUGUAGAUUGAGUACUUACUGUUUGAAUGCUGGAAGGUAAGUGUAGAUUGCUAUGCUGCUGAGGUUGUAGAUGAA